UACGUAGGGUGCAAGCGUUGUCCGGAAUUAUUGGGCGUAAAGAGCUCGUAGGCGGUCUGUCGCGUCUGCUGUGAAAACCCGAGGCUCAACCUCGGGCCUGCAGUGGGUACGGGCAGACUAGAGUGCGGUAGGGGAGAUUGGAAUUCCUGGUGUAGCGGUGGAAUGCGCAGAUAUCAGGAGGAACACCGAUGGCGAAGGCAGAUCUCUGGGCCGUAACUGACGCUGAGGAGCGAAAGCGUGGGGAGCGAACAGGAUUAGAAACCCCCGUAGUCC
rnacentral:rRNA from 1 species